rnacentral:rRNA from 1 species
UACAGAGGUCUCAAGCGUUGUUCGGAUUCAUUGGGCGUAAAGGGUGCGUAGGCGGCGCGGUAAGUCGGGUGUGAAAUCUCGGAGCUUAACUCCGAAACUGCAUUCGAUACUGCCGUGCUUGAGGACUGGAGAGGAGACUGGAAUUUACGGUGUAGCGGUGGAAUGCGUAGAGAUCGGGAAGAACAUCAGUGGCGAAGGCGGUCUGCUGGGCCGUUGCUGACGCUGAGGCGCGACAGCGUGGGGAGCAAACAGG